CCAUGACUUCCUUAUACGGUAAAAACAUUUCAUUAUAAGUCUAGUUUCGGAACCAAUCGUGGUUUUUCGACAGAAGCGACGCUAACACAAAGCAUUCAUCGAUUGAUGUUGACACAUGUGGAAUGUUGAAAUUUAGUACGAUUUGACUAUGCGUUUAUUUACCAUUUUCCUCAGAGUCAGAGCUGCGUCCCAGCUAAUCAUAAUUUUUUUAGAGUGUUGAUUUAUGAUGUUUAUUCAUAGAUUAUUCGGAAUACAAAGACAUAAAAUUGUGAUGGACAGAUUAUGGUUGCUGUUGCAGACUCGAAGUGGCAUGUCUCAGCUGAAAUAGGCGAAAAUGUUCAUCCAUGGACGAAGCUAAGUUUUGUUAUUUUUUUUUUAUACUUGUAGAUAGGCUUACUUAAACAUUGAGGUGAGUGUUUUGCAAUGCUUGCAUUGUAGGAGGUAAGUAUAAGUCAAUUUUAUAUAAUGCCUUUUAGUAACUGUAAGCUGAUUCAUCCUACCAAGGAAGGCGGUCCUUGAAGAGGUAAGCGAUGAUGAUUCUGUCGACAAUUUGAGCGAUGAUAAUGAGGACCUUGACUUCCAGUUACUUAUUACAUAAAUUUAUUAUGUAUUAUUUAAAGGGACAUUAGUUUUGAAACUGCAAAAAAGAAAUCAGUCUUGAGCGAAUGCAGACCAACGACAGUUACAAAUGUGCAAUUUCAACUACUUUAAAUGGUGCUAAAACUCAUUCAACCACUGAACUCCAAUAUACCUCAAAUGUCUUGGAAUAGCCUCACCUAUAGAAAAACAAAAACAUGCUGAAAACACAAUUUAGCAGUGACAUCAAUUUAAAUCAAUAUUUUAUCGAUUAGUAUUAACUUUGCUUUGUUGCAUUAAUAGUCAUAUAAAAGUAUGUCUUAAAAGUAUUCAUACUUAUUAUUUGUUGUGUAAGUUUCUUUUGAAUGCUUAUUUAUACCGGAAUGAUUCAUUUGGAUUGUUAACAGAAAGUGCUAGAACAAAUAAUAAAUUAAAAAAUUUUUCUUGUGUUAGGGUAUAUUUGACAAAUUUAACACAAGUUUUUU